CUGGGCUGUUGCAAGGAUCACGAGGAAACAGGCUAACUGGGGGCUGAGGGCGCCCGCCUGGGUCCCUCAGUGCACAAAAGCGCACACCCUCCACUGCCGUGAGUGUUGGCUGCCGAUGGCUCAGAGCUGCCGCUUCCACAACUGCCCUGGGCUGGGAAGCCCGGGAGGUCACCCCCCGCACUGAGGCAGCCCCCAACCAAUGACCAACUGAUACAGCCAGGCUGUGGCCAGAGACUGACCACCAGGCCCUGCGAGGAGUCCAGCUGCCAGCACCAGCCCACCUUGAGUUUGCUGGGGGGCAUCAGUUGUCGGGGACACCUCUCCUUGACUAGUCCUAAGUGUGUGCCCACACAAGACUCCCCCCAGCAUCUGACUGCAACAAGCCUGUCUCCCCAAGGUGCUCGUGUGCAUCUGUCUUGGACAAGAAGUGACCACUUCCCUCUUGUGCCACUGCUCCUCAAGGUGUUUAGGGAGCUAAAAUCCCUUCAAGAAAGAGGCGCAUCAGCAAGCCCAGCCCACGAGUCAGGAUGAGCAGAGCAGGUCCCCGGCCCACCUGGCAGCCGCCCUGCGGGAGCAGCAGGGCCCGGGCUCCGGCUGAGCUGAGGCAUUUCCUCCCCAAACAGACGCCUGCACGAGCACAGAACUCUCCAAGUAUCAAGAAAACCCCAGGCCAUGAGAAUGGAUGGCCAUCAGCCUGGAAAGUUUCUAAGUUUCAUUUGUAUUGGAAGCUGGCACAGAAACAACCAAGACAGCAUGGCAUGUGGUUUCCUAGGUUUUUCUA